rnacentral:rRNA from 1 species
GAAUUUUGGACAAUGGGCGAAAGCCUGAUCCAGCAAUGCCGCGUGCAGGAUGAAGGCCUUCGGGUUGUAAACUGCUUUUGUACGGAACGAAAAGCUUUGGGGUAAUACCCGGGAGUCAUGACGGUAACGUACGAAAAAGCACCGGAUACCUCCGUGCCAGCAGCCGCUGUAAUACGUAGGGUGCAAGCGUCAAUCGGAAUUACUGGGCGUAAAGCGUGCGCAGGCGGUUUUGUAAGACAGAGGUGAAAUCCCCGGGCUCAACCUGGGAACUGCCUUUGUGACUGCAAGGCGAGAGUACGGCAGAGGGGGGUGGAAUUCCGCGUGUAGCAGUGAAAUGCGUAGAUAUGCGGAGGAACACCGAUGGCGAAGGCAACCCCCUGGGCCUGUACUGACGCUCAUGCACGAAAGCGUGGGGAGCAAACA